rnacentral:lncRNA from 1 species
AGUAAUGUAAAGAGUAUUAUUAGCGUUCGGCAGGACUUGAGGAGAUUCCUAUGAGGAAUACCGAUCGUAGUGAGAUAAACAAAUAAGCGCAGUCACCGCCCUAAAUACCGGCGCUAGCGGAAAACUCGUACAUUCCGCGAUCUAACUGCACGUACAUUCCGCGAUCUCACUGCGCCGUCCUGACGGUGCCCAAAUGUCUAUCACUUAGCUACAGUAUAUGCAUCGGUAGCCCAUAAGGUUCUGGGUUAAGUCUUCCCCAUUAGUCAGGCGCAGUCUCAGGGUCAAGACCCCUGGUUGACAACCAUACGAGUUGGGAGAGGACCGUUUCCUCAACAAAGGUCACGCACCUUGAAGACUUUCGCUAUUGCGGCUUUAAUUGCCCGGACCAUUUCCGGGUCUUCUGACGCAAUAAUGGUGUCAUCUACGUGCACCAAAGCAAUAACAGGCAGGCGGCUGGCAGAGGUUAAGGCCUGACUUCUGCUCCCGGUCGACCUGGGUUCAAAUCCGCCUGCCGACCUCUCGGGUGUUUGAGAGGUGGUGAAAUGGGAGGUGGCCCCCCAUCUUGUGGACGGUGUAGGACGUGAUAAAAUCAACUUGCGAGCUGUCCAGGAACUAGGUUGAGGCGCCGUUGAUCCGCUAGAUUUGGUUGGAUGCUGGUGGUGAGUUGCCAAACUCAAAGAGUACACGCUGAAGUCGGAUGGGGUGAAUGGCUUAGGGUGCCCCUCUAGCAGGGGAGAGCAGGGAAUUGCCUCGGGAAGGAGGCCACUGGUGAAGCUUAACCACCCUGUAACAACAUCAACAACCCCACGCUCGUCCGUCUUAACGAACAUCGCCGAAUCAGACUUCGAAGGAUAAAGACCCAGCUUGGCGAACUCUGCUGAUAGCUUUACAUACCAUGGCAGGCGGCUGGCAGAAGUUAAGGCCUGACUUCUGCUCCCAGUCGAUCCAGUCGACCCGGGUUCAAAUCCGCCUGCCAGCUCCUCGGGUAUUUGAGGAGUGAUGAAAUGGGAGGUGGCCCCCCAUCAUAUGGACGGUGUAGGACGUGAUAAUAUCAACUUGCGAGCUGACCAGGAACUAAGUUGAUGCGCCGUUGAUCCGCUAGAUUUGGUUGGAUGCUGGUGGUGAGUUGCCGAACCCAACGAAUACAUUCUGAAGUCGGAUGGGGUGACGGAUUAGGGUGCCCCUCUAGCAGGGGAGAGCAGGGACUGCCCCGGGAAAGGGGGCCGCUGGCGAAGUUAACCACCCUGUAAUAACAUACAUACCAGCAACGGGGUGCCUGCUUCAAACCGUAAAUAGACCUCUCCAGCUUGCACGCAAGCGACCGGUCACUGGAUGCAUACCCAGGCGGUUGCUCCAUCCACAACUCCUCCUUCAACUCGCCAUUCAAAAAUGCAGUAGACACAUCGAGCUGGUGCACCGUCAUGUUCCGCGCUGCGGCAACUGCUAGUAAAGCACGUAAUGACGAACACGUGAGGUAGGGGCAAACAACUCCAGGCCUGGCUUCUGCUCCCGACGUGUUCCGGCGCGUCCGGGUUCAAAUCCGCCUGCCGACCUCUCGGGGUGUUUGAGAGGUGAUGAAAUGGGAGGUGGCUCCCCAUCUUAUGGACGGUGUAGGACGUGAUAAAAUCAACUCGCGAGCUGACCAGGAACUAAGUUGACGCGCCGUUGAUCCGCUAGAUCUGGUUGGAUGCUGGUGGUGAGUUGCCAAACUCAAAGAGUACACGCUGAAGUCGGAUGGGGUGAAUGGCUUAGGGUGCCCCUCUAGCAGGGGAGAGCAGGGAAUUGCCUCGGGAAGGAGGCCACUGGUGAAGCUUAACCACCCUGUAACAACAUCAACAACCCCACGCUCGUCCGUCUUAACGAACAUCGCCGAAUCAGACUUCGAAGGAUAAAGACCCAGCUUGGCGAACUCUGCUGAUAGCUUUACAUACCAUGGCAGGCGGCUGGCAGAAGUUAAGGCCUGACUUCUGCUCCCAGUCGAUCCAGUCGACCCGGGUUCAAAUCCGCCUGCCAGCUCCUCGGGUAUUUGAGGAGUGAUGAAAUGGGAGGUGGCCCCCCAUCAUAUGGACGGUGUAGGACGUGAUAAUAUCAACUUGCGAGCUGACCAGGAACUAAGUUGAUGCGCCGUUGAUCCGCUAGAUUUGGUUGGAUGCUGGUGGUGAGUUGCCGAACCCAACGAAUACAUUCUGAAGUCGGAUGGGGUGACGGAUUAGGGUGCCCCUCUAGCAGGGGAGAGCAGGGACUGCCCCGGGAAAGGGGGCCGCUGGCGAAGUUAACCACCCUGUAAUAACAUACAUACCAGCAACGGGGUGCCUGCUUCAAACCGUAAAUAGACCUCUCCAGCUUGCACGCAAGCGACCGGUCACUGGAUGCAUACCCAGGCGGUUGCUCCAUCCACAACUCCUCCUUCAACUCGCCAUUCAAAAAUGCAGUAGACACAUCGAGCUGGUGCACCGUCAUGUUCCGCGCUGCGGCAACUGCUAGUAAAGCACGUAAUGACGAACACGUGAGGUAGGGGCAAACAACUCCAGGCCUGGCUUCUGCUCCCGACGUGUUCCGGCGCGUCCGGGUUCAAAUCCGCCUGCCGACCUCUCGGGGUGUUUGAGAGGUGAUGAAAUGGGAGGUGGCUCCCCAUCUUAUGGACGGUGUAGGACGUGAUAAAAUCAACUCGCGAGCUGACCAGGAACUAAGUUGACGCGCCGUUGAUCCGCUAGAUCUGGUUGGAUGCUGGUGGUGAGUUGCCAAACUCAAAGAGUACACGCUGAAGUCGGAUGGGGUGAAUGGCUUAGGGUGCCCCUCUAGCAGGGGAGAGCAGGGAAUUGCCUCGGGAAGGAGNNNNNNNNNNNNNNNNNNNNNNNNNNNNNNNNNNNNNNNNNNNNNNNNNNUUCAGACUUAUCUUGCUGUUUUUGUGUUUGUUCGGCGUUCAAGUCGUUGCCUUUUGCGUGUUUGUCUAUGGAAGGACCGGUCAUACAUUCUGCUAUGCCGCGUUGACUCACGGGCUUGACCUUCUUACGGCCCCUCAUAUCUAUUUUAUGAUCGAUAAUACUAAGUUCUGCACACUACGGAGCAAUCUGGCAGCAAUGGACGUUUUUGGCUGAAGGAAUGAAAAUGUACGGAUCGGCCUCACUUUGUUCCUUAUUUCCAAAGGCCAAAAAGGCCUCUUUAUUCCUUAAAAGUAAUAUAUUACUUAAAAAAAAAACACUGCCGUUGGGUCCUAUUACUGUGGCUACCAUUCACUGGUAUAUGAGUGUCGGUCAUUUCCAACACCCCCCCGUGAGCGACACUCCAUCGCUACGGGCCGUCCCGUGCCUCAUCCCGGUCUCCCAUUCUCUAGGCAACAGCCAGUGGGUAUCGAUCCGGCGACCUCUCGGCAGCGCAAUGCGCCAUUCGGGGCUCAUUUCUUAUUGACGAAUUGGCGACGGAGACAGCUAACGCUGAUUGUUAUUCCGGAAGGAUUGCCGGUGGCGAAGAUAUUUUGCACAAUAAAAUAUUACAAGUAAUGUAAAGAGUAUUAUUAGCGUUCGGCAGGACUUGAGGAGAUUCCUAUGAGGAAUACCGAUCGUAGUGAGAUAAACAAAUAAGCGCAGUCACCGCCCUAAAUACCGGCGCUAGCGGAAAACUCGUACAUUCCGCGAUCUAACUGCACGUACAUUCCGCGAUCUCACUGCGCCGUCCUGACGGUGCCCAAAUGUCUAUCACUUAGCUACAGUAUAUGCAUCGGUAGCCCAUAAGGUUCUGGGUUAAGUCUUCCCCAUUAGUCAGGCGCAGUCUCAGGGUCAAGACCCCUGGUUGACAACCAUACGAGUUGGGAGAGGACCGUUUCCUCAACAAAGGUCACGCACCUUGAAGACUUUCGCUAUUGCGGCUUUAAUUGCCCGGACCAUUUCCGGGUCUUCUGACGCAAUAAUGGUGUCAUCUACGUGCACCAAAGCAAUAACAGGCAGGCGGCUGGCAGAGGUUAAGGCCUGACUUCUGCUCCCGGUCGACCUGGGUUCAAAUCCGCCUGCCGACCUCUCGGGUGUUUGAGAGGUGGUGAAAUGGGAGGUGGCCCCCCAUCUUGUGGACGGUGUAGGACGUGAUAAAAUCAACUUGCGAGCUGUCCAGGAACUAGGUUGAGGCGCCGUUGAUCCGCUAGAUUUGGUUGGAUGCUGGUGGUGAGUUGCCAAACUCAAAGAGUACACGCUGAAGUCGGAUGGGGUGAAUGGCUUAGGGUGCCCCUCUAGCAGGGGAGAGCAGGGAAUUGCCUCGGGAAGGAGGCCACUGGUGAAGCUUAACCACCCUGUAACAACAUCAACAACCCCACGCUCGUCCGUCUUAACGAACAUCGCCGAAUCAGACUUCGAAGGAUAAAGACCCAGCUUGGCGAACUCUGCUGAUAGCUUUACAUACCAUGGCAGGCGGCUGGCAGAAGUUAAGGCCUGACUUCUGCUCCCAGUCGAUCCAGUCGACCCGGGUUCAAAUCCGCCUGCCAGCUCCUCGGGUAUUUG